GUGAGGUAAUGGCUCACCAAGGCUUCGACGGGUAGCCGGCCUGAGAGGGUGACCGGCCACACUGGGACUGAGACACGGCCCAGACUCCUACGGGAGGCAGCAGUGGGGAAUAUUGGACAAUGGGCGAAAGCCUGAUCCAGCAACGCCGCGUGAGGGAUGACGGCCUUCGGGUUGUAAACCUCUUUCAGCAGGGACGAAGCGAAAGUGACUUUACCUGCAGAAGAAGCACCGGCCAACUACGUGCCAGCAGCCGCGGUAAUACGUAGGGUGCGAGCGUUGUCCGGAAUUAUUGGGCGUAAAGGGCUCGUAGGCGGUUUGUCACGUCGGGAGUGAAAACUCAGGGCUUAACCCUGAGCCUGCUUCCGAUACGGGCAGACUAGAGGUAUGCAGGGGAGAACGGAAUUCCUGGUGUAGCGGUGAAAUGCGCAGAUAUCAGGAGGAACACCGGUGGCGAAGGCGGUUCUCUGGGCAUUACCUGACGCUGGGGAGCGAAAGUGUGGGGAGCGAACAGGAUUAGAUACCCUGGUAGUCCACACCGUAAACGUUGGGCGCUAGGUGUGGGACUCAUUCCACGAGUUCCGUGCCGCAGCUAACGCAUUAAGCG
rnacentral:rRNA from 1 species